AAACAAGUGAUAUUUAUCUGCUGAAUGGAGGGUUGUUCAAAGAUUACUGAGGCAUGUCCUCAGUUACUGGAUUUGAUUCCAAGAGAAAGGGAAUGGCUAGUUAAAAGAGCUGAUGAAAGAUCCUCAGAGGAGAAGAAGCUUGAACUAAGGCUUGGUCCACCUGGUGAAGAAUGGUCUCUUCGCGAGAACGCUAAAAACGCAGAUGAUAGAGAAAGAGAUGAAUCUCUUCUCUCUCUUGGGUACUUCUCCAAUGGAAACCAACAUACCCGCAAAUUUUCUUCACCUGAAAACCUACAGCCUGGUUCUGUAUGGUUCAAUCAACAACUAUCACAACAAGCGAAGGCUACUCCAUUUCUCCAGUUUCCAUCAAAAACAGUAACAACACGACAGAGCCUGCCUGUAAUGGCAAAGGAAUCCUCACAGCCCUGUUGCACUAAAGUGGUAGUAGACUUGCAGCAGAGCGCAGAAAAGAAGGCGUUUUCACCGCCAGCUCCUGCAAAUACAGCUGUUGUGCCCAGCAGCUCUCAGAAAAGAACUGCUCCUGGUUCAGUUGUGGGUUGGCCUCCAAUUCGUUCAUCCAGGAAGAAUCUUGCAAGCAGCAGCUCGUCAAAACCUGUUACUGACUCACAAAAUGAAAG
rnacentral:misc_RNA from 1 species